UUGCCCCCUUUCCUUCCAAUUCAGUGCCCCUCACUAAAUAAAAGCAAGGUGGAAGGAAGGAACCACACAACUUCUCAGAAUUGGGUUGCUUUGGAAUGCAGCCCAAUGCAGGUGGUAAACUCCAUCUAAGGCUAAGGCAUGAGACUGAUAGCCAACAAGUACUGUAAGG
rnacentral:ncRNA from 1 species